ACACAGAGGGUGCAAGCGUUAAUCGGAAUUACUGGGCGUAAAGGGCGCGCAGGCGGUUUGGUAAGUCAGAUGCGAAAGCCCACGGCUCAACCGUGGAAGUGCAUUUGAAACUGCCAGACUUGAGUACCAGAGGGGAAAGUGGAAUUCCCGGUGUAGAGGUGAAAUUCGUAGAUAUCGGGAGGAAUACCGGUGGCGAAGGCGACUUUCUGGCUGGAUACUGACGCUGAGGCGCGAAAGCGUGGGGAGCAAACAGGAUUAGAAACCCCAGUAGUCC
rnacentral:rRNA from 1 species